ensembl:snRNA U6 U6 spliceosomal RNA
GUGUUCACCUCUGAAGCACAUAUACUAAAACUGGAACAAUACAGAGAAGAUUAGCAUGGCGCCUGAGCAAGGAUGACCACAAAUUCAUGAAGGGUUCCAUAAUUUU